GGAAGAACCAAAAGUUCCUAUCAUUGUUUACUCAAAUCAUGAAAAACCCCCACAAAAACAAAUCCUCACAACACUCACUUUCUUUACUGAUAACUCAAGAUUCUUGCUUUUUUUCAAGUUGCUAUUAAAGAAGGAAAAAGAGAGAGGAAAAUGAAUGAGGAAUUGGGAUUUUUUGGGAUUAAAUUAAAGAGAGAAAGAGGUGGG
rnacentral:misc_RNA from 1 species